CGGUGAAGCAGGAGCUUGCUUCCUUGUGGAUCAGUGGCGAACGGGUGAGUAACACGUGAGCAACCUGCCCCGGACUCUGGGAUAAGCGCUGGAAACGGCGUCUAAUACUGGAUACGAGUAGCGACCGCAUGGUCAGCUAUUGGAAAGAAUUUCGGUCUGGGAUGGGCUCGCGGCCUAUCAGCUUGUUGGUGAGGUAAUGGCUCACCAAGGCGUCGACGGGUAGCCGGCCUGAGAGGGUGACCGGCCACACUGGGACUGAGACACGGCCCAGACUCCUACGGGAGGCAGCAGUGGGGAAUAUUGCACAAUGGGCGCAAGCCUGAUGCAGCAACGCCGCGUGAGGGAUGACGGCCUUCGGGUUGUAAACCUCUUUUAGUAGGGAAGAAGCGAAAGUGACGGUACCUGCAGAAAAAGCGCCGGCUAACUACGUGCCAGCAGCCGCGGUAAUACGUAGGGCGCAAGCGUUAUCCGGAAUUAUUGGGCGUAAAGAGCUCGUAGGCGGUUUGUCGCGUCUGCUGUGAAAUCUGGGGGCUCAACCCCCAGCCUGCAGUGGGUACGGGCAGACUAGAGUGCGGUAGGGGAGAUUGGAAUUCCUGGUGUAGCGGUGGAAUGCGCAGAUAUCAGGAGGAACACCGAUGGCGAAGGCAGAUCUCUGGGCCGUAACUGACGCUGAGGAGCGAAAGGGUGGGGAGCAAACAGGCUUAGAUACCCUGGUAGUCCACCCCGUAAACGUUGGGAACUAGUUGUGGGGUCCAUUCCACGGAUUCCGUGACGCAGCUAACGCAUUAAGUUCCCCGCCUGGGGAGUACGGCCGCAAGGCUAAAACUCAAAGGAAUUGACGGGGACCCGCACAAGCGGCGGAGCAUGCGGAUUAAUUCGAUGCAACGCGAAGAACCUUACCAAGGCUUGACAUAUACGAGAACGGGCCAGAAAUGGUCAACUCUUUGGACACUCGUAAACAGGUGGUGCAUGGUUGUCGUCAGCUCGUGUCGUGAGAUGUUGGGUUAAGUCCCGCAACGAGCGCAACCCUCGUUCUAUGUUGCCAGCACGUAAUGGUGGGAACUCAUGGGAUACUGCCGGGGUCAACUCGGAAGAAAGGUGGGGAUGACGUCAAAUCAUCAUGCCCCUUAAGUCUUGGGCUUCA
rnacentral:rRNA from 1 species